ensembl:snRNA U6 U6 spliceosomal RNA
GUGCUCGGUUGGGCAGCACAUAUAUUAAAAUUGGAAAGAUACAGAGAUUAGCAUGGCCCCUGCACAAGGAUGACACUGAAACACAAAUUUGUGAGGCAUUCCAUAUUUAA